AAUGAACGCUGGCGGCAUGGAUUAGGCAUGCAAGUCGAACGGGACGCUUUCGGGCGUCUAGUGGCGAAAGGGUGAGUAACACGUGAGCAACCUGCCCCCGAGUCUGGAAUAAGCGAUGGAAACGUCGUCUAAUGCCGGAUGAGGACUGGAGCCUCCUGGCUUCAACUCCAAAGAUUUAUCGCUUGGGGAUGGGCUCGCGUCCCAUUAGCUUGUUGGCGGGGUAACGGCCCACCAAGGCUAUGACGGGUAGGUGGACUGAGAGGUUGGUCACCCACACUGGGACUGAGACACUGCCCAGACUCCUACGGGAGGCUGCAGUGGGGAAUAUUGCGCAAUGGGCGAAAGCCUGACGCAGCAACGCCGCGUGAGGGAUGACGGCCUUCGGGUUGUAAACCUCUUUCAGCAGGGAAGAAGCGAAAGUGACGGUACCUGCAGAAGAAGCACCGGCUAACUACGUG
rnacentral:rRNA from 1 species